UCCAAUUGUAUCCGACUGCAGGUCGCACACUCUGCUUUCCACGCCCACGACCUCCCACAGUCCGUAGAAAGAGAAGGAGAAGAGUGGCAGUACAGUUCUAGUUCCAAAAAGAAACGGAGCUUAAAGCUUUUUUUGACACGGAACAAUGGCACAACAUAAUCAAGUUUAGACUCUAUUGAGCCUUAAUGAAAAGCCAGAAGAUGAGUAAAGACUUGCACCACAUCUGAAGUGAAAAAAUGUCUUGCUAUUCUAUUACAUAGCACUGCUUUCAUGCAGGUGUUACAUUUUUUAGAUGAAACAUCAGCCUCCCUUCUUCAACAUCCUGCAUAAGGCACUGAUGAGCAGCAACACAGAAUCCUUCGUCAUCUUACCAAGGUAGAGAAGUGGUGUGCUGAGAAUCAGUCUGUGUUCAGGGAGCAAGUCUCACUCCCUUUAUUACUGUCAAUGGAGAAUGGUGUCAUUGAGGAGGCCCUUUAGAAAUCUGAUUUGCUAUCUGAAUUUCCAGAAUAAGAGGAGAAUGGAAUAUGUCCUUAGACCCUUCAUCAUCCUUUUUUCAUAUAUGGAAGACAUGCACCUGUUUUUAGAUAACAUGAGAGAAAAAAGGAAAAUCACCGUGUUUUGUGAGAAAAUGUAACAUAAACAUACAUGCCCCUCAUUGUUCAGUUACAACCUACAAUUCUUGUUCUAUAUUUUAUAUAUUAACUUUAUUGUA